rnacentral:rRNA from 1 species
UCCUACGGGAGGCAGCAGUGAGGAAUAUUGGUCAAUGGUCGGGAGACUGAACCAGCCAAGCCGCGUGAGGGAUGAAGGUACAGAGUAUCGUAAACCUCUUUUGUCAGGGAACAAAGGCGGGGACGUGUCCCCGGAUGAGUGUACCUGAAGAAAAAGCAUCGGCUAACCCCGUGCCAGCAGCCGCGGUAAUACGGAGGAUGCGAGCGUUAUCCGGAUUUAUUGGGUUUAAAGGGUGCGCAGGCGGUCUGUUAAGUCAGCGGUCAAAGCCCGGGGCUCAACCCCGGCCCGCCGUUGAAACUGGCAGU